CCUGUCCAACAUGGUGUCUAUCUCCUCAGAGCCCUUUGGCCACCUGGUGGACGAUGAUGACGUCAGUGACCCAGAGGAGCACCAUACUGAGAAGAGUAAGGAACCCCUUCAGGACAACGUUAUUGCCACCUAUGAGGAGCAUGAGGACAGCGUGUAUGCUGUGGAUUGGGCCUCAGCUGACCCAUGGCUGUUCGCUUCCCUGAGUUACGAUGGGAGACUAGUUAUCAACAGAGUCCCCAGGGCACUGAAGUACCACAUACUGCUCUAGUGGCCCAUGGCACUGCUGCUUGGUACUCGGCAAAUUCUCAGAAAUCUGCAGCUACGAGCAUCUCUUACAGGGGAAAAAGAAGAAGAUGAAAUCCCACUUCCUAGCCUUUUCCUUUAUGGUCUGAACCUGCCUGAUCAACCCACCAAGAUACUCUCCAGUGUUUUCUUCUGAAUGUGUCGUGGUUCUAUAUCUACGUCCUGGGUCCAUUUGGGAUGGUUUUACUUCUUUUCAAAUAGACAUCAGGCACCGC
rnacentral:lncRNA from 1 species